CCCCAACCGAAACCCAUCAAUUUCAAGAUUACUCUACACCACCAGGAGAAUUUAAGGAGAAAAAAAAUCACAAAUCCAUGGCCUUCUGAUAUUCAUCUUUCCGAUUUCUGUUAUCAAUUUCUCAUCUUAAAUUUUUGCAAUUAAACUCUUAAAAAAUGACAGCUUUCUAUUAAUUUUUCACUUCAAAUUGUCUGAUCCAGUUUGAAUGGAGUAUCAAUUCAACCCCUUCAACACGUUUGUUGCUGAUGAAGUUUGUGGGGUCAGGAUUCCUAAUCGAAUUAGAACGUGUUUUUCGUUGGCAUAGGUUGGUAAAUUGACAUCAAAAUGGCAGCACAGGUCAAUUACAACCCACCAAAGUUAGGCUUCUCAGCCACACAGGACAACUUCAAGUGCUUGCGAUUAGCGGAAGAAGGAAAGUCAAAUGUCGUCACAGUUCGAAUGACAAGGAAAUGGGAAGAGGUUAUCGUUGACGAGGAGGUUAGUUCUUAAUUGUUGGCAAAAGUGUCUUAGAAAACCUUGCGUAUACUAGAGCCUAUAAAGCUGGAAUGUUGCUCUCAGUGGAAUUAGUCGCUCAUAUCUUUGCAGCCCGAGGCAGUUUGAUGUCAUUAACUAUUAUUUUGAAGGUUGGAAGGUGAGGAGCCUGUAACGAGUUAGGUAGAUAAUGGCGGUAAAAUUAUAAUCAUGAAAAAUAGAGUGGGUUGAUAUAUUGGGGAGGGCUUCGUGUGUGCGAAUACUGGGACAAGGAUAUGGUUAAUUGCAAAUCACCAGUAAGGAUCUAAUUAUCUUUACAAUAACACUUUCGUCAAGGGAGUAAAAUGUAUGGGUGAAGAGAUUCAAAGCUUCAAAGCGACAGGUUGCCUUGCUGAUGGUUGAAAAAGAAAUAGCAAGGUUCAUCUUCUUCUCCUUAUCUUGCACCUCAACUCUAUAUCCUUAUCUUUGAUAUAAAAUGUAUAAACCCUAUAAUAAAAUUCGUAUGCCAUUGUUAAUCAACUGUAUUGAUACAAACCAUUGGUGCUGAGAUUGUUUUUUCCAUUAUUGAUACAAAUGUUUGAUUAAAGCAUAUGCCCCUUCAAAUUUUUUUUUUAAGCAUAUGCUCUCUCUUUGUAUCAAUUACUAUCGGUCUUAGAUUUUCUUUUUGAAUUUUUUCCCAUAUGUAAUUUUCAUAUACUCCUUUACAGAUGUACAUACCGGUAAUAAAGAAUCUAUAAUUUUUAGUUUUUAGAUC